rnacentral:sRNA from 1 species
GGAGGAGUUAAGCAUCUGAAACAAAACAUGGCCCAUUUUCCCAACCAUCGUGCAUGGAUGUACGACCGUUGUUAUAGUGGAAGGAGAGGUUUGAAGGAAUCUUUUGUCAUUGGAGUUGAAGAGUUCGUGGAGACGGCCCGACGAUAUCAAUAUUAUGCCCUUGAUGGAGGGAUUCGAUGUCCAUGCAUCAAGUGCGAAUGUACAAGCAUUCUGAAAGAUGAAGUCGUCAAAGUUCACCUUUACCAAAAAGGGUUCAUGCCUAAUUACACGGUCUGGACAUUUCAUGGUGAAGAAAUUCCUUCGACCUCCACUGCAGCUGAAAAACGGCUUGCAUCAGGUUCGAAUACUGUUGUACAUACAUGUGAG